rfam:Cricetulus griseus cell line CHO-K1, whole genome shotgun sequence.
GUUUGCAGUACCCAGCUGAGUACAUUCGUAUUUGGCGGCUCGGAGGAGGAACUCCCGGCUGCGGCUCCAGGAGACGUCCUGGCGGC